UGGAUAUAUGAAGAUUGAGUUACAAAUCUUCAGAUGUUAGUCAUCUUCUGAGCCUCUAAUUUUGGUUUUUGGAAUCCUGAGCUAAGAACCAUCUUUAAAUUGUCUUCAUCAUCAAGCAACAGC
rnacentral:lncRNA from 14 species